GCAUAAGCAACGCUUGGAGUUUGCUUUUUCAGAGGGAGCUUUCUGUCCUAGCAAUUUGUUUUGGCCUUGGACCCCUUCUCUGCUGCUGUGAGCUUAACAAGAUCCUCUGUCAUUCUCCAGGGAAGCUUUCAAGCUCGCUGCUGCGGGUUUGAAUUGGCUUUAAAUAAAAGGUGUUCUGUUUCUGAAGUGCCCUGCCCAAGGGCUCCGGAGCACUCUGCGUGCAAUCUAAACAGCCAGCAGACAAAGCUGUUCCAGGUGAAGUGCCCGAGCGUGAUGACGUGGCAGAGAGCUGCAGGGAAGCGUUUGCAAUUGAGUCCCAAAGGAAGAAGGCUUUGUCUGAAAACCCACCGUCUGCAGGUGGUGGCUGAGUGUCAAGGUCGGGGCUGUGCCCCUCUGCCUGCACGGUGCCUCUGUGCUGAUCACCCUGCUUGGUUGAAGGAGAUGCAAAGGGGGAGAAGCAGAGGGUUCUGUCUGUCAGCUGCUUUCAGAAAGGUCCUGCUGGCUCCUUGCCUCUGCUCGGAUCGCGGAGCUGUUGCUCUGAGCUGCAGAGAUGCUGUACCGAAGCUCUGACAUGCUGAGCCCUGUCCAAUUCCUCCAAAGCACGCUGUUCCAUGUACCUUUGAGAUGCCAGCUCCUCCAGGGUGAGGUGGGCUGUGCAGCAGAGCUGUCCCCGCUCACACUGUAAUCCUCAGCCCUCAGCUGUCAGCGUCUCGGAUGAGUUCUUGGAGGGUAUCCAGACAAACACAGGAGAGAUUUCAACUGCUGCGAUCCCCUGUCCUAUUUUAUCUCAUUUCUGACAGCCCAUGUCUGCUGAGGCUGGGAAGUGGUGAGGAGACGAGAGCAGCUUCCUGCAUUUGUGGAUGGAGAAGCACUCCUUCCUCUGACAGCCUGCUUGCUUUGCCUGUUUCCUGCAGUACUGAUGCACUGUCUCUUGCCUUCUGGACCAGCUGCAUCUUCAGGACAACGUCCCAGAUGGCUCUUUUAGGGAAAGAAAUCAGAGACUGAUUGGUGGCCAAAAAAAGUCUCUCAUCCAGUAUCAAAGCUUUAGCUGCACCUUAUGCUUCCCAAGGACGGCUUGGAAAGGGCACAGUGGAGCUGCUGCUGAUCCUCUUGCACCGGGCUCAGGGGGUAUCUGGAGAAACCCUGUGUUUCCAGAUAAGGACGUGCUGGAUUUACAGUUGUCUACCACUGUUAAUGCAUCCUCGUCUGCGUGGUCGUGUGAAGGUAGGAUCCGCAGCAACCACAUCACCUGCUGUUCUCCUUUCCAUCCUCCACUCUUGGUUUCCAUGCUGCUCCAGGAUGUUCUUCCCACCCUGCGUUUUUGCAGUCAUUUAACUAAGCCUUUUUCAUCCAGAGGGGGAAAAUGGAGGCAGCUCUGCAGUUUACCAGGCAUCCCGCUGGGGAGCAGAGCCUUACGAGAGCAGCAUGGCAGUGGCUCUGGAUGGCAGCGGGUUUGGGGUUGGGAUUGGAGAACAGCAUCUCCUGGCCACCCUUCCUGCAAGGGGAAUGCAGAGCUGCUCACGUCCAGCAGGACGCGAGAAAAGGACAAGCUGUGUGCACAACGUGGUGAAGAUCAGUGGGUGGUUUUACCCAAAGAGGGCAGUGCCGUGCCACGAUCCUCCCCACUUCGUCUCUGUAAGGCGUGGAGGGCUCUGCAGAGCCGGGUGGAAACAGCCAACAUCGAGGAUUUCUUGAGGGGAAGAUCACGGCGUGAUGAGGCAGUUGUUUUUCGGAGGUGUAGCAAUUACUUCAAAGCAAAACAAAACCAAAGCAGAAAGAAUGACAGCAGAAAACCUUGCAAGUAUCUGUCACGCGAAUGCCUCUUCUGUCUCCUGACAAACUGCUUUUCUCACCAGCUUAGCCAAAGGUACACAGCCGUAGCACUGCCUGACUUAAAGCACUGCUCCUGCCUGUAUUCCUGCCCUCACUCACUGCAAGGACAGCUGUGAGCUCUCCUCCCUUCUGGACGGCAUCCCCCUUAGCUCCCCCGGGGCUGUUGGUCCCCAUUUCUGUCUCUAGCAUCCUUCCCAUCUCCCCACCCCAGGACUGCUUCUGCAGGGAGAUGCUGCUGUUGGAAAUUAGCCUUACCGUGGGACAAAGUGGGGGCUGGGUGGCUAUUUACCAGUUGGCGUGCUGCUGUCAGAAGUGGGGACUGGGCCCCUUCCUCUAUAGGCAGGAGAAGGGGUCCCACAGGCACUGCUGGGCGCUGUGAGUUGCAUGCUUGCCCUUUUGGGGUAUGUGGGACCAGGGAGGCUUUGCUGUCUGUGGGAGGAAAGACUUCAAAAUGAGCCAACGUUGCCAUUGCCAGAGAAACAGCUCUUGCCAUGCUGGGCAAUUGGCUGAAAGAGGUGAAUAGGGCUUUCCUGUAGGGGUUCAAAGCUCUAGCUCUGGUUAGAUAUAUUCACGUGGGCUCUUUCCCUUUCGAAGAAGGCAGAUGAAAAGGGCUCUGACUCCUUUAAAUAGGUCUGCGCUUCCUCCACCAGCCAGGAGCUCUGUUAGGACUGCACUGCUCCUUUCCACCCAGCAAGGACAGCUGCCAGCUUAACUCUUAGCCCUCACGUUAGCAGCAGAGGGGCUGAAAUGAAGAGUGUUUUCCCUCGGCAGCAGUCAAGAGGAAGAUGUUUGCUGCUGCUUGCUGCUUUGUAUUUAUUCUGCUAGCUGAAGCAUAGAAGCACGCGUGGGUACGAGGUACAGCUGGUGCUUGGAAGGCUCUGGGUUGCUGGAGGGGCACGGAGGGUCCUGGGAGCAUCGCCUCUGAGCAGGCUCCAGCUGGCUCUGUGCAUGGUGCCUGCGUGUCGGUGCUUACCCCACACCUCCUGCUGCCUUCCGUGGCUUUCGGGCACUGAUGUGAGCAAGUGCUGCUGCCAGCUCGGAGCUGCUGCUCUGGCUUAACGUGGGAAGGCAGGAGCAUCUGUCCCCCACUGCUUUCCUAUUAGCGGGCUGCUAUAAGGCAAAAAGCCAUCUGCCUGCAGAGGUUGGGGUUGGUGGUAUUUGCUAACCCAGGAAAAUGCUGCUCCAGGAAGGCAGUCAGGCAUGAAGGAUGAGAGAUCCUCUUCCUCGGAGUUCACUGAAAUAGGACUUUCCUGCAGGUUGCUUUCCCGUUGACCAGAGGGAGACCCAUGGCUCAUCCGUGCACCCUUCUUAGAGCUGCUGAAGAGACUCAGAAUGGGGUGAUGGCCCCAUGCUCCUUCCUGGGGUCUCCUCUUCCUCAAGGUUAGUGUUACCAGCUGGGGCCUUGUUUUCCCAGGCAGCCUCUAGUGCCAGGUUCAUGCUGAUCUUGCUAAGCACUUUUACUCCUGAGGACAUCUGCGCAAUACAGCUGGUUCAGAAAGGUUUCCCCAAAGCGCAGUCAUUUAUUGUGAGCCAGCAUUUGCAGAGUAAUCCCAUACAAGUCAUUAGCUGGGUCGCUGGAGCUUGCCCUGGGGUCUGUCCAGGGAAUCCCAGAGCUGCCUGGGGCUGAGCGGUACCUGCAGCUCCCAGACCUGCUCAGCUCUGUGCUGAGAGCCUCACCUGGCAGCUUUGGUGUGCUUCUUCCCAUGAUUUUAUCUAAUUUCUGCUGUCUCUCCUUUGUCAGAGCCAGCGCAGGCCAGCUAAUGUCCAGGUGCAAAGGGUGCACCGCCCUCUGCCAUGCCAUCUACCUGGUGAUAUCAAGGCCAAGAGCGUCACGUUCUGGAUGUUCAUAAAUUAUAAGGGAAACAGCUUUCUUCCUUCACCCCUUGAACUUUUAUUCAUUCCUCCAUUGUGUUAAUGAAUACGUGGUCUAAGCUGUAUGUCAGUCCCUGUUCUUGCUUGCUGUAGAUGAGGCUGGCUUGUCAGCGCUUGGCCUCCUUUUGCCAUCAGCUCGAGCGGAGCUGUUACACGUUAGUUCUCCAGCAGCAUUUUGAUUACCUCUCAUAACACAACGCUGUCAAUGCAGACUGACCAAUACAGCAAUUCAAUGAGCGUGUUGCUCUUGACAAGCCUUAUUUGCCCUGGAUAAGUCAGGUGGAAUAUCUUCAGCUGCAGGUAAUAGGCAGUAACAUCCUCUCUGUGUGUUAGCUGAAGGUUUCCUGGUCUCUGUUUCACCCGAAGGGGCUUCCUUGUCUCCACUGCAGCAGGAUGCAGAGCCUGAACUAACUCUGAGCAAGGAACUGUGGAGUCCAGAAACAGCAGCUCUGCUUUAAGUGAGGCUCUUGCCCUGGGUAAUCAUCCCAUCCUGAGAAGCACAACGUACUAUCUCAGGCUUCUUCCUAAGGUGUGUUGACCAACGUGCAUUUGAUGUCUUGGAGCUGCCCUGGCAGUGUGUGGGCCAUCAUCCUCAGUGGGGAACCAGAGACAGCAAUCACUGCUAAGUGCCAGAUGAUAGCGUGUUUUGUCGGCUGCUUUGAUGCAUUAUGUUUUCCACCAUCUGUAUUUGCACUGCGUUGGAGGCUUGCUUGCCCUGCAAGGGCUGGGCUGCGAUCCCUCCAGCACUGUGAGCAUCCAGGUGUGGUGUUUAGAGGGUGGAGAGGAGACGUCAAGCUUUCUUGCUUUGCUAUGCCCAUGCCUUGUCUCCCCACACUUGCUCACUUCUCCAAAUACUGCUGCUCUCAAUGAACUCUUAGCAGCUGUCAGUCCCCGUUCCUGAAGCGAUGUGCAGUUCUGAGCUCCCUACAGGUUGGGAUGGUCCUUGUGCUGGCUGCUCCCUGCUCCAAUCCUUGGCCUGUUGUGCUUUUUUAGCCUGCAAAGCCUCCUUCCCAAAUGCUUCUGAAGAAGCCAAAGCGGGAUCUGCUCUGGCAGAAAGAAGCCUGCAGACCUGGAUCCUCUCCCCUCAGCCACUGCAGCCCUGGAUGGUGUUUGUUGGCAGGCAUCGCUCCCAGUGCUCCUGCUCACCUCGUGCUCUCCCAGGAGAAACAAGCUUCACAUGAUGGCUUUGGAAAUAAGUCAGGGCAUGUGUCUUGGGCAGAACGAAAGGAGCUGGAAACCUGAGCUUUGUUUGCAUGCACGUUGUUCCUGGCUUUGGCAGGGAUGAGCCCUGACUCCGUGCAGCUGCCGUGACUGGUUUACUGGGCACAGCAUGAGGUCCCUCCUCCUUGAAGGACAUUCACUGUAUUUUGAAGCCACGACCGCCGGCAGAGCGACGGAUCCAAGACGGGAUCCAGACUGCUUUCUCUCUCAAUCCAGCACGCUGCCUCCCGCACUGCUUUCCCCUGGAGCAUCCUUGAGCCUGGCCAGAAGAAGUCAGAGCUCCUUUCCUCUCUGCUGCAGCCACCUGCCCUGACAAGUGGCCUGUCCUCGGGGAAGCGGCAUCGUUUCCUAUCAUUAGUGAUGCGGGGCACGGGAAGCUGUGUCCACUCAGCUUUGUCUCUUGCUGGGUGCACACUGGCCGAGGCCGGUGGCAGCUCAUGCGUCCCCUGGAGCUGCCUUGAAACCCAGUGAUGGGUAAAGAAACCCCAUCCAGCUGCUCUUCUCUGUGCCUGCGAGUGCCUCAGCACGGUGAAUAGCAACGGAAGAGCUCAGGAGAAACAAGCAUGAGUGGUAGAAAUAAGCAGCAUCAAGAGAUCCAGCAAGCGAAGGAUGAAAAAUCAGAGUAACGGCCAAGGAGACGACAUCCACUUGACUUCUCUUGCCCGUGGUGUGAGCAAUUAAUCCAGCUAAGGCAUGGCAGUGGAGUGAGGCCAGGAACAGCAGGAGGACGGCGCUGCACCGGCAGCAGCAAGCGGGACCGGACAUCUUCCUCUGCCACGCUGCCCCGACCUUUGUGGUGAGGUUGUGCAUGGAGAAAUGUGCUGAACCACCCCGUUGCCAUGGAAACCAAGGCCGAGAGGGGACCAGCCUGCUCCUGCUAAUUGCUGUGGCUUUGUGACCCCAUCCGUCCAUCCUGCUGCCUCCCGUGAGCCUGUCCGAAUGCACAGCGCUGGCCCCAUCCUGCAUCAUCCUGCCCUUUGGCUCCCAGCCCCAAUGCUGUGAGCAGGAUCUGGGGUUCCUCUUUCUCUCCUUUGUGUUGUCACAACCUGCACAAGAUCAGUUAAAAUCCGUGGCUUGAGCAUCCCUGCAGCCCAUCACCCCGUGCGUGCACAUCUGCCUGCAUGCUUGUUGCAGGAGCACGGUGGCGGUGCAGUGAUGCACCUCCCUUGCCCUGCAUCCCGGGCUGCCCUGCCUUUAUCUCGUCCAAUUAAAUAACUGCAGAUAGUGGGCUUAAUAAGGCCCUGCUAUGAAAGAUUACUGACGAUUUCUUUCCCAACGUGCGGUGAAUUAGGAGGCAGUGAGCAGGGAAAGGACUGCUGCUAAUUACAGUCCCCCAUGUCCCCUCUGCUGCCACCACUGCUGCUGGGCCCCUCGCUGCUCCCUGCACCUGAUUGCAUUUUGCUGCUGGUUGUGGCCAAUUUGCAGCUCUCAGCUGCUGCUGCUUCUCCCUUCCCCCCACGCCCCCUGCUCCUCUUCGAGUUUAUUAAUGAAAACCUUAUCUGUCGGUGCAGAUAAUGCCAGAAAUAAUUAGUGCACACGGAGGGCUGGCAGGCUGCUCUCUGCUCCCACCACCCACACCCUCUCCUCUCACUGUUUACAGUUUCCUGUGCUGCUUGGGGCUGCUUUUUGGGUUUUUAAGCCUCCUUGCUCUGUACAGAUUUAUUUGCUUCUCUUUCUCUCCAAGUUUUCCUUGCUCAGAAAGAGACAGACAGACCUGAGGCACAGAUGCAUCCUAAAGAGCUUGACCUUAAACACCUGGGCUGCAGGUGCCCUGACCUUAUGGCUGCUGGAAAUGGGGAGCUGCCCCCCAAUGCCCAAGAGCAGGGAUUGCAUUUGCUCCUGGCAUGCUCUGGUCAGGUCAUGGCCCUGCUCCUGCUGCGCCAGCGCCGUCCUCGCUUUGCUCGUGCUCCCUUUCAUUACACUUAGCAUCAUUGUCUCUUGGCUUAAAUCUUUCAGCCUGAUAAAGGACGACAGCGCUGCUCGAGUGCCUGGGAUGGCAUAAAUAAUUCCAGUGCUGAGAGAGAUUUACAGCUAUAUAAAUGUCAGGAGUGAGCCCAGUUUGUAUUAAUGGCCUUAUUAGUUACAUUGCUGUAAAAUACAGAUCCUCCAAUUGUUAAGCGGCCGUGGUUUUGGUCCACAGCAUUAAUCCAAUAAAUUUGGGCUUCUCAAUACGAAUCUUCGUCUCUGAACCCCACUGGAAAAUCCUUCAUGGUAUGUCAGAGAGCUUUAAAUGGCUGUGGCUGAGACAGAGGUGGGAAUAACAGAGCUGGUGGGAGCGCAGGUGUAAGGCAGUGCAGCAGCCCAUCCCCACCCAAGGGCAUGGGAAGUGUGGAGGUCCCUUGGCCGUGAGGAGCUGUGGGGUGGGAUUGGUGCUUUUGUCACCAGCUUGGAAACCACAGCCCAACCCAAGAGCUCCCAUGGCUCUGAGAUGUCCGUCCGUCCUUCCCACCCUGCUGCCAUCCCUCCCUGUUCCCUGGUGCAUCUCGUAUGAGGACGUUCUGCAACUCUGCAAACUUUCCACCAGCGACCUGCCAAGUGCAUGGGGAGGGAGAGGGGAAAGCACCACGAUAAUUGAAAAUAAAUGGUGCAUUAUAUGAAAUAAAUGUUCUGGUGCAGCCAGCUUGCUGUCGCUGAUUAUUUAUUUGUUACUUGCAAAUGCUUUGAGGAGGUGCCUGGGGAAGAGGGGUUUUGGAGAUAAAGUGGUGAUGCCUUCGUGCAGAGGGAGCUAUGGGGCAUGGGAGGCUGUGUGCGUCCUGCAGCAACGGCAGGGGGACAGCCACAGCCAUUGGAGCAGAGAUGUCAUUGCCAUGAGGAGAGUCCAGAG
ensembl:lncRNA